UACGUAGGGUGCGAGCGUUGUCCGGAAUUAUUGGGCGUAAAGAGCUCGUAGGCGGCUUGUCGCGUCGAAUGUGAAAUCCCGGGGCUCAACCCCGGGCCUGCAUUCGAUACGGGCAGACUAGAGUUCGGUAGGGGAGUCUGGAAUUCCUGGUGUAGCGGUGAAAUGCGCAGAUAUCAGGAGGAACACCGGUGGCGAAGGCGGGACUCUGGGCCGAUACUGACGCUGAGGAGCGAAAGCGUGGGGAGCAAACAGG
rnacentral:rRNA from 1 species